AAAUCUAUGAUGCAUGGCUUUUUCUCCCAGCUCUGCUGAGGUGAUUCAUCUGGGAAAGGAAGAGAAUGUUUUGCUCACCCUCCUCCGCAGGGACAGUCCCCAUCCCCUGGCCCAGCCCAUGCCCUGCCUGCACUGCUGUGUGUCCUGGCUCUGGGGUCAAAGCUCACCCUCCCCACCGAGGCCAUGCCUUGCAGCGCCCUGGGGAGCGCGGGCCCCUGGCUGUAGCAGCCUGCUGCAUGCUGCGGGGUUGCUGUUCACAUCAGCGGGACUUACAGAGGUGGUUGGAGCCAGCUAGGUAUGAAUAGAUUCAUGAAGGUCUCUGCAGGAAGCUCGUAAUUAGUCCAAUAACGUGGAGACAUUGUUACUGCAGCUCAUUAAAUUUGGCAAUGCUCACUUGGACCUUUGAGUGCUGGCAGUGUCAAGUUGACCUGAAACGCAAGGAUUCCAUCUGUCGGGAAUUACUGAUGAAUUGGAAAUUAAAUAUAAGGAAUAAAGACAUAGACCUGCCAUUUCUGUAAAGACCACGUUCUUCGCGGGGAUUCUGCAGCAUGAAGAAGGACUAUCAUAGACUCCACUGCAGAACAGCCGUGCACAAGUCUGGUGCUCUCGAGCACCUGCUUUCUUCAAGCACUCAUACCACAAAGUACAAAAUGAGCUUGCGAGAGCUGUGGACAUUUGUCCUGGUCAGGUGCUUGUCUGGGCCCAUGCUGGCUCUGCAUGGAAGGGACAUCAGGCAAGCACGUGUGACACCUUGUGCAGGCGUAGUUGAUAUGUUUAUCUCAUUAAUGUAAUUUUUCUAUAAACAUGCAUAUAUUUCUCCCAUCUCAGCACUGAAGAGGCAGCAUGUCAGCUGCAUUCUCACCUGCGCUGUGUGGGAGCUCAGCUUACACAAGGAGAAAGAAGUGUCCCUGUGUGGCAGGGAGCUUUCCAGCUUGGGGCAGAAAAGUGUCUGAUUGUUUUCCUGCUCUGGCUCCCUCAAAUAAGGCCAGCAAAGAGCAGGGGCUAGCGAGGUUAUAAUGGUGUUGUUUGAUCUCCCACUAAUGAAGCCUAAGUAUAAGUUACUGCACCAGCUACUCCCCUUACCGUACCACUGUCAGGGAGCACAAGAACCAUUUUCCAAUGCUCCUGUGCUGUCUCAGUGGUGAUUUCUUGCUCCACUACCCAUUCUAUUGCUGCAAAACUAAAUACGUGACCAUGGUGGGUUUGUCAUGUUUGCCUUCUAGCUGCUAUUGGACAGGUUUGCUGUCAGCUACAGAGCUAACACCGAAACCAAGUACAUGGGCAUGUUGUAAAAGCUUCUUGAAAGGAGGGAGAAACAAGGCUGCUUACAGAAGCUCUUAAAUGGGAUUUUAUCUUGUGUGGAUUGUGGAUUGACUCAUUGUGAGUAAAGUUGUGAAAUCCAUGGGAAGAGACUGUGCUUGUGCUAACUGGUAGAGCAACCUCAAUGGGACACUUGCAAUUUUGCAUAGACUGGUAAGCUUCUAUAGCUGAUGAGAUGACAGUGCUUUAUGUUCUCAUGAGCGCAUUUUCUUGUUGUGUCAGGGGAGGGCAUUUCUCUGUUCAGAGAAUGGUUUAGUACAGUAGGUGUUCCGAAUGUAUGCGUACACAUGCAAAAGAGGGAAGCAUUCACUCCCACUAAGGUCCUUGCUCACUCUUCCAGCCUGUGCCCUCUUCCCUUCUCAACCUUGGUGUGAAGCUGUGCAGCAUUCAACCAGGUGUUUGGAAACCAAACUACUGGGUCCCUUGCCAUGUGUGUGUGUAUUUGCCAGAGCCCUCUGGUGCCUCAGCCUUCUCAAAUGAUGGCAGCACACCCUUUUGCUGUUCUGCACAUUGGGGCCAGCUCAGAUGAUAGAAAUCUGUUGAUCUGGGGUUAAAACACCAAAAAGAUGUGAGACAUGGUGUGGAGACAGUGGCAGGGAGAUGGUUAACAUCCUCCCCCUUAGCAGGGAGAGAUGCAGCUGCUGAUCCAGUCUGACAAACUGAAAGGGGAUCCAACCCCCAGGGAAAUGUGUCUGGAGUUACUUAAUCCCAAAAGGAUUAGACAAGGAGUACACUCUAGGGAAUUUCUCAAGACUUUCUGCCGUUAAAGAAAAGUGAAAUGAAACCCCUCAAACCAACAACAAUUCCUUUCCCCUUGACAGUGUGCAGCAAUGGAUACCCCUGAACUUUCACCGAAAAACAUUGGGAGGGGCAGCAUGGAUGCGGUCCAACUCUUCUCACUGUACUUUUACCUCCCAUCCUACCCCUGAGUCAGUCUGUGCUGUUACUCUGGAAAUCAUCCUCUGCCUUGGCUUCAGUGGUGCUAUCAUUUCCUGCCUCUCCUCCUUCUUCUUUAAUCUCAUUCAGCACAUCCUAUGGACGAGCUUCUCAUCUCCCUCCAGCUUUUGUAUGGAUUUCAUCAGUCUGAGUCUUUUAUCCCCACCUCUUCCUCCUCUGUAUCUUACCUCUGGUUAAUCUCAGCCGUGCUCCCCACUUUGCCUGUUCAUCUGUUAUCUUUUUGACUUGCAUUUAGACUGCAAACUCUUUGGAAUAGGGCCUGUCUUUUUAUUUUAUACUUUUACAGUGCCUCUAGGAAUCUCCAGGAUCAUGAAAUCACAGACUGGAUUUAAGUCAUCGUGCAGAAUAAAAACAUUAGAAGACAACUAGCCCAUAAGGUUGCGUGGAAAUAUCUCUCUCAUUUUCAGCAGCAGUCUGAAGCAGUAGAGCUCUGGUUGGUACAACAGCGAGAAACCCACUCUCCCUCAAAACACAGUGGGAUGGAGCAAACCUGCAGCUCACCCCCCAGUAUGUCACUGCCUUGCCAACAGUAGGCAUCAAUUUAUGGUGAGGAAGUGUAAAAGGUUCUGUUCCUUUCACAAGUAGCACCAAGAAGCCUUAGUUAUCUUGGCUACAUGGGAGAUUGGUGUGGUUACAAUGAUGUCCAACUGCUGCCAUGCGCACCACCGCCAGCGUACAUCAUGUAAGGGAUGCUUUUCAAGAAGCCAUGACAGUAAGGUUUUUGUCCAUUUGUUUCUGUUUUCUUUUUUGGCAGGCUCUCAGAAGCACUAAAUGUACUGGAAGAGAAGAAUAAUCUGGGUGUCUUGACUAGUGCACAUUUUAUAUGCCAGUGGGCUCCAAUCAGCACUUCUUUUCUCCAGUUCACUGAGACCUUCAGAGAGGCUCCUUGUUGUUCCCAGGCAAAUAUCUACUUCUACUCACUGUACCAAACUAGUCUGAGAAGAUGAAACAAUGUUUUGAUUUGCUUUGUUUUGCUUGAGGACCUUCUGUCCUUUUCCACCUCUUCUAUAAUGAGCUCUAGAAGAUUGCCUCAUUAAUUCUAAACGGGUAUGUCCAUGUAACCAAUCAUCCCUGAUGGCCACAAUUAACCUCCAGCCAGCACAAACUCAUUUUGGCAUUUGGCUCCUUGAUUAUUACCGUGUUUCUCAGAGAUGCCAGAGGGCUGCAGGAUUCUCACGGUGCCCGAUCAUAGUGCACAGGUGUCUUCCUUCCCCCUUGGCCCCACCAACCUGAAGCAUCCACACAGCAGUUGCCCACCUGUAACCCACAUUACCAUGUCCUCCUCUGCUUCUCAACUCUUUGACCACAAGUAGUUUUCUUUAUGGGCUUGGUCAUUGAGGGGGGGAGUCUGACCCUCUCAGCAUCUUUGAAUCUUUUCCCACAACAUAAAAGAGGAAGUAGCUGAUGAUUUAUUAAGAUGUAGUAAACCAUUAAUUCCGCCAUUCAGGAUCCAGUGAAUUUUUUUUGCUGCAUCUUUUAUUGAGCCACCUCUGCUCUAUUGACUGGAUGAUUACAUGUUUCUAAAAGUAACUGAAGGUUACCCAACAACCUGAUGUCUGUCUGAAGAAAGACAAAUGGCAGAUCGUUGGAUCGAUCUAUCUACUGGUUAACAUGAUUGUAAAACUAUUUUAAACAAUCAACCUGUUUCUGCUCUAGGAUUGCUGCAGGAAGCAGCUUUGGGAAAAAAGAAAAGUACUUCUAAGGCGAAUGACAUAUGAAUGUACUUAUGCAGGCAAUAUCUAGACAAGGGCAAUGAGAUGAAUGGGAAACGCUGGACCAGAGUUUCUGUUCUGGCAUGGAGAUGCUUCUCUACUCCCUGCACGCAAAUUUGCCUUGCUGCCUCUUGAUGUUGUGCUCAGAUAGUGCCACUGCUGGUACUUUUCUCUGACAGUAAAAACAUUUCCAUAAUAAUGAUAACAAUAGCAGCCAGAUGGUAAAAUUCUGAAGGAAAAAAA